rnacentral:rRNA from 1 species
AACGAACGCUGGCGGCGCGCUUAACACAUGCAAGUCGAACGAGAAGGCGUAGCAAUACGCUUGUACAGUGGCGAACGGGUGAGGAAUACAUGGGUAACCUACCCUCGAGUGGGGGAUAACCCGCCGAAAGGCGGGCUAAUACCGCGUACGCUUCCGAUCUUGCGGGAUUGGAAGGAAAGCUGUCCCUUGGGGAUGGCGCUCAAGGAUGGGCUCAUGUCCUAUCAGCUUGUUGGAGGGUAACGGCCUACCAAGGCAUCGACGGGUAGCUGGUCUGAGAGGACGAUCAGCCACACUGGCACUGCGACACGGGCCAGACUCCUACGGGAGGCAGCAGUGAGGAAUAUUGCGCAAUGGGCGAAAGCCUGACGCAGCGACGCCGCGUGGGGGAUGAAGGUCUUCGGAUUGUAAACCCC